rnacentral:rRNA from 1 species
UACAUGGGGUGCAAACGUUGCUCGGAAUUAUUGGGCGUAAAGCGCGCGUAGGCGGUUACUUAAGUCGGAUGUGAAAGCCCUCGGCUUAACUGAGGAAGUGCACCCGAAACUGAGUAGCUGGAGUACGAAAGAGGGUCGCGGAAUUCCCGGUGUAGAGGUGAAAUUCGUAGAUAUCAGGAGGAACACCGGUGGCGAAAGCGGCUUCCUGGCCCGACAUUGACGCUCAUGUACGAGAGCGUGGGGAGCAAACAGG